UACGAAGGGUGCAAGCGUUAAUCGGAAUUACUGGGCGUAAAGGGUGCGUAGGCGGUUUGUUAAGUCUGUUGUGAAAUCCCCGGGCUCAACCUGGGAAUGGCAAUGGAUACUGGCAGGCUAGAGUGUGUCAGAGGAUGGUGGAAUUUCCGGUGUAGCGGUGAAAUGCGUAGAGAUCGGAAGGAACAUCAGUGGCGAAGGCGGCCAUCUGGGACAACACUGACGCUGAAGCACGAAAGCGUGGGGAGCAAACAGGAUUAGAUACCCUGGUAGUCCACGCCCUAAACGAUGCGAACUGGAUGUUGGUCUCAACUCGGAGAUCAGUGUCGAAGCUAACGCGUUAAGUUCGCCGCCUGGGGAGUACGGUCGCAAGACUGAAACUCAAAG
rnacentral:rRNA from 1 species